GAAUCGAGAAGAAUCAGCUGGCUUGGGUGGGCCGAACUGUGAACUCUAUAUUCUUGAUUCCAGAGGUGCUCUAGUGGAACAGAGAGCUGUGGUUUCUAGGGAUAGGCUCAUUCUUACUCAUUGCCUUAUCCUCUCUGUUUUGAUUUUGAGGACAUGUGUCUUCGUUAUCCAAAUGCCACUGCAGUAAAUGUUUAUGGUGCAGGCGCACAGGCUAUCCACUCACUUGCAAUGAAAGCAAUAUAUUCUUUAAGUUUGUUAGGCUUACAACACUGAAAGUUCUUAAGCUUCACGGUUGUGAGGGAAUAACUUCAGCUUCAAUGGCUGCCAUAGCUUUCAGCUAUACAUUAGGUUCUGGAGCUUGAUAAUUGUAACCUACUAACAUCAGUUUCUUUGGAUCUUGCUCGCCUACAGAACAUAAGGCUUGUACAUUGUCGCAAAUUUGCUUAUUUGAAUUUACAAAGUGAUAUGCUCUCUUCUAUUACUAUUUCUAAUUGUCCUUUGCUCCAGCGAAUCAAUAUCACUUCGAAUUGACUCAAGAAGCUGGUGCUGUAAAAGCAAGAAUGCUUAACCACUUAACAACAAAAGCAAGAUUGUACAGGAUAGUUGAAGAGAUCAUAUUACUUUGCAUAUAGAAGUGAAGAUGAACAAGGUCAUGGGUUCAAGCCUUAAAAACCUCCCUAAAGAUAGAUCUUGCAUGACCAUACACAGAAGAGGCAUUUUUAUCUCCCUAAAGACUGAACCAGCAUCUCAAGAUCAUUCCAAGCAUGCUCAGAAGACUGAACCAGCACCUCAAGCUUUUAUCUCUCUUUUAGAGUUUGUUAGUGUAUCAGGUUACUGCAUUUUUAAUGUUAUUAUCAUCAUCAUCAUCAUCUAGGUGUGGCUUUGGGGAUGACCAGUUCUCAUGACCAUAGUGACAUUUUCUAUUGUUGAAGUUCAAUAUAGUUGAAAUUGCAACCUUUUAUA